CAACACCUCCCUCUCUCUCUCAUUUGGCCUCAUCUCUAUUCUCUUCAUAAACACAAACGAAAUCGAAGAUACAUCGAAAAAAUCAAUCAAUAACAUCAGCUCUUCUCUAUUCUCUUCAUCAACACCAGCUGAAAACGAAGAUUCAUCAGCUCUUCUCGAUGCUCAUCAUUAACAAAAUCCAUCAGCAGAUCAGUUCUUGAGGAUUUGUUGUGAAUCGAUGAAGAACAGUCAAUGAGGAGCACCAACAAUAUUCGAGAGUAAUUGUGUGUUUUAUAAAGCAAUUAGUAAUUGUAACGAAACUCAAGAUUAUACCUCUUCGCUGGUAUGUUGUUGUUGUUAAUUCCAGAAAUUUUUAUGAAUGGGUGUGUAUACUUAGCUCAGCAAUGGAUUUACUUAUAAUGGUAUAGAAGUUGAUUAAUCUAAACACCAAACCUGCAGUUUGAGAUAACACUAUUAUCUGCUCAUAUAGCUGACGGAAUCGUUGCUUGGCGAGGUUAGGGAGGAGUUUGAACAUCGCUUGGCGACCCAGAAUGAACCGAUAAGUUUCUCUUUGCUUUGUUAGUAAUAAAGAAAUCCUGUGGAAAUUAAUAGUUAUUUUUAUAUGGUUACCCUAAAACUCGCUUGAAUAUACUGUUUAGAUGGAAGGCUUCUUUGUUCAAUGUGCACUUCAUAGCUGCAGAGGACAAUGACGAAGAUGUUGAUGCACAAGAGGGUGGGGGAAUUUUACCUAGUGCAGAACCAUACUUUGCUGAGAUUCAGAAGAAGCAAAAACUGAUCAAAGAUUUGCAAGAUGCGGGUACUCCCCCAGCAAACACAGAUGCAUUGAUUGAAGCAUUUAGAAAGGAUUCUGCGCCUGCUAAAGUGUAUGAGUUUAGAAACUGAACUUCAUUGGGUAUAUUGAUUGUAUGUUAUUGACCUGAAUAAAUUGUUCAAGCGGAAGACUUUGUUGUCUAGUGCGCAUUCAAUGUGUCUCUCCGUAGCCUGGAUUUGGCCUGAAAAUGUUACAGGGAA